GUGACAGUGUCAAAUUUUAAAAUACAAAGGCGACAUGUUAUAUAUUUACAUCUGACCCACGUGCAAUUCAUAUUACAAUAUUAUACAUUUAAUUAUUAAUUACAGACACAAAGUGCCGUAAAUAUGACUAGCUCAUUAAAAGAAAUAUAUGAGAAAACAGGUGAAUAUGAAGCUUUCUACACUGGUGGUGAUAUUCAGUGGACAACUGAUGGUGGGCAUUUUCUAUGCCAGUGCAAUGACAUUAUAAAAGUUAUUGAUGUAAACACACUUUGCAAUACACUUACAAUAGGAGAAUCACUGGAUGAAAAAGAUGACAGUGAUCAAAUAUACACUUUCCAAAUGUCUCAUGACAAUCAAACUAUAGUAACCGCACAUAAAAGUGGAUUGUUAAAGCUCUGGGAUAGAGAAACGGGACAACAACGAAAAUUAUGGCGGUCUGGUCACAAAGGAGCAGUUGCCAAGCUAGCGUUUGAUUCUAAUGAUACCAAUAUUGCAUCAGGUGGAACUGAUGGAAAUAUAAGAUUGUGGGACAUCAAUUUUCAUACUUGUACAAGUAGUUUAAAAGGAGCCAUGGGUGUAUUCACUGUUCUUAAAUAUCACCCAGAUUUUUCCAAACAACUUAUUUUUGGAGCUGCUGAUGAUACAAAAAUAAGAUCAUGGGAUUCUAAAUCUGGUAAAGAAAAUGUUAUAUAUACUGGUCAUUUUAGCAAAGUAACUUCAUUACAAUUUACUCCAGAUAAUGAGUAUAUGAUAAGUUCCGGAAGAGAUAGAGUUUUAAUUCUUUGGAAACUUGGUGAAAGUAAGCCUGUUAAAGUUUUACCUGUUUAUGAAAGUAUAGAAGCAACAAUACUUAUGCCACCAACUUUCAAAAUACCAAAUUUUAAAAAGAAAUUAGAGACAGAAGGAAUUUAUGUUGCUUGUGCUGGUGAAAAGGGGAUUAUAAAAAUAUGGAACAUACAAAUGAGCUGCCUUAUGUUUGAACAAUCAAAUAGUCUUGUAUCUUCAUCUACUGAAGAAGGUGGCCUUGCAAUCACUAAUUUGAUAUUCAAUACAGCAAGAAAUAUGAUAUCAGUGGUUACAGCUGAUCAUAAUAUUAUAGUUCAUGAUUUGGAAACAUUUACAUGUAUAAAACAAAUAAUUGGAUUUACAGAUGAAAUAUUAGACAUAAUAUUUGUUGGGAAAGAUGAAUCACAUAUUGUUGUAGCUACAAAUAGUAGAGAUUUGAAGUAUUAUGAACUAGGAAGUAUGGAUUGUAAAUUGUUAAAAGGGCAUACAGACAUUGUUUUAGCUCUAGCUAACUUUCCUGCAAGACCUGAUAUUUUCGUAUCUUCUAGUAAAGAUAAUACAGUACGAAUAUGGGCUCAGGUGACUACUCUAGAAAUAAAAUGUUUUGGAUUUGGGGCAAGGCACACUGCCUCUGUAGGCUCUGUCUUCACUUCACAGAUAUCUGAUACAUUUUUUACUUCUGUAAGUCAAGAUAAUUGCUUAAAGAUUUGGACAGUUCCAAAAGACAGAGAUUCUGGUGAUCAAAAAAUUAUACCAAGUCAUACAGAAUUGGCUCAUAACAUGGAUAUCAAUUGUGUUGCUGUAUCACCCAAUGACAAAAUUAUAGCAACUGGCUCACAAGAUAAAACAGCAAAACUUUGGAAUGAUGAAUUGUCAUUGUUAGGAGUAUUAAAGGGACAUAGGAGAGGCAUAUGGUGUGUGCGAUUUUCACCAGUAGAUCAAGUCAUUUUAACAUCUUCAGCUGAUAGUACAUUAAAAUUGUGGUCAAUUGCAGAUUUAAGUUGCUUGAAAACUUUUGAAGGUCAUGAAAGCUCUGUCCUUAAGGUAGACUUUUUAAGUAAAGGACAACAAAUAGUGUCAAGUGGAGCAGAUGGUCUUCUUAAACUAUGGAAUAUUAAAUCGUCUGAAUGUAAAAUGUCACUGGACAACCAUGAUGGCAAGGUUUGGUCGAUGGUAGUUAAUAAAAAUGAGGAGAUAAUAAUAACCGGAGGAUCUGACUCUAAAUUGGUGACUUUAAAAGAUGUCUCCACAGAAAGAAGAGAAAAGUUAGCCAAAGAAAGGGAAGAACAAAUUUUACAAGAACAAGAAUUAAUGAAUUUACUACAUGACAAAAAAUUAGUCAAAGCUCUCAGAUUAGCAUUACGUAUGGAAAGACCUUUUCAUGUAUUAAAAAUUGUAAAUGAAGUUUUAAAAUUUGGUCAUGAAAAAUUAACAGAGACCCUGAAAGAAAUUAACAAUACACAAAAAGAAGCUUUGUUAAAAUUUGCAACAGAGUGGAAUACAAACAAUAAGAAUUGUCAUGCAGCUCAACUUGUAUUUAAUAUAUUAGCACCAGAAUUAAUAUCAGGUAAUUUGAAAGUACCAUCAUUAUCAAACUUUAUUGAAGGUGCAUUGCCUUACACUGAGCGGCAUUUUGAAAGAUUGACUAAUUUGUUACAAGACCUAAAUUUUAUUUCUUAUACUGUUAACUGUAUGCAACCUCAUCCUGAUAAAAGCAUAGAUCAACAUUAAAAUUGAAAAUUAUAACGUUGUUUAAUUGAACAUUAAUUCAUAAUUGUAAUCUUUAAAAUUAACAAUGUCUAUAAACCACUUAUCUAUGGCGCACGUUUGCUCUGACGCACAAAAAACUGUGUCAUUAAAACUUAUACUUGCGAAAUGCUAAUUUACGUGGUGUGUGUAAAAGCUCAUAAACGAUAAACAUUUCCGUCGCCUGCGCAACCUUUAUACGCUUUCCGUGAAAACUGCUUCCUAAUAUGCAGUAGGGCAGUAGUGGUGAAUCGAUUACGCGAAGCAGACGCGUCGAUUUUUGUGCGCGCUGUUAUUGUCGUAUUAUGUUAACAGAUUCAUCAUGAGCUCAAAAACUGUUUUAAUUAGUGUAAUGAUCUGUAUUUUAAAUAGUGCAAGAGGACAAAAGCCAUCACAGAAUCCUGUGUUGGAGUGUCCUUCUCUCGACAAGGGAGACAGCUACACGCAGUCAGAGUUCCUGUCACGCCUGGCCCACGAGUGCCGUUAUGACCGACUGCUUCUCCCAACUUAUCAGACAGGGGAAGUGGUGUAUGUACAUGCCAGCGCUUACGUAUACUUUAUACAACCAGCUGAAG